GGUUGCGGCUCUGGUGUUCUCGUGCGGUUCCUGUGUUGCCUACCCGUUUAGCGGUAUCCAUGUGCCUCGUAAGACCCGUUCCAUCUAGGCUCCCUUUUGCGAGGUUGCUGUGGGAUUUGAAAGUGAUUCAUGUGUUUCGCGUUAGUUGUGUGAUGUAACGGCUCACGUGCUCACAUGAAUCUACUGUUAUCUUGGAUGCGGUGCAUGCCGCGAACGUGGGCUUCAGAUUGUGCCCCGUUGAGUCCCUUUGAAAUAUCGGUUGCCUUGAACGACGCUUGCCGUUGUGCUGGUCUUGCUUUACCACUUUGUGGUGGCAACGCUU
rnacentral:misc_RNA from 1 species